rnacentral:rRNA from 1 species
CCUACGGGAGGCAGCAGUGGGGAAUAUUGGGCAAUGGGGGAAACCCUGACCCAGCAACGCCGCGUGAGGGAAGAAGGUUUUCGGAUUGUAAACCUCUGUUCUUGGAGAAGAGAAGAAGACGGUAUCCAAGGAGGAAGCCCCGGCUAACUACGUGCCAGCAGCCGCGGUAAU